CUUGUUUUACUAGCAAAUGUUUCUUACUCAAAUCAACUAGCACUCCAACACAAAAGUCAAUCUUGGUAUUUUUAAGUAAAAAUUCUCUUUGUUCCGGGCCACCACAGAUCACUGUUCUGUCCCACCGGUUUGAGCUGAAGAGUAACUUAGCAACUCUCAGUUUUGGCGAUGAGAUUUCAGACUCCCCUCCCCUGGCUCCCCUUCAGGCACCGAGAGGGCAAAUCUGUCCAGAAAGCGUUAUUUCUUCUCCCGAGUAUUCACGAGGUUACAAGGAAAAGGGUGCCUGAAGAAGCUCCCUCCCGUUCCCGCAGCAGCCGCCGGCAGGUCCCAGGACCCACGCCAGGACCCCCAGCACGUCUGGGUUACAGAGUGGAUGAAGCUCAGGGACACAGCUGGGAGCCUCCCUCCUAUGCAGCUCAGGGACACAGCUGGGAGCCUCCCUCCUAUGCAGCAGGCAGUCAGUCUCCCUGGGAUCUCCGUCGAGGCCUCCUUGAGUCUCUGUCUACUCCUUCCUAGAAUCCCUGUCCACACCUCCCUGGGAUCCCCUCGAGGCCUCCCUCCCUUGAGUUUCUGUCUACUCCUCCCUGGAAUCCCUGGCUGCGCCCCGCCUUGAUUCUCCAUCUACACCUGUGUUCUCACUGUUCCCUGUCCUGCUUACUUGCUCUGCUUCCUAGAACCUCCAGCCCCAUCCCUGAGCCCAGGCAGGGAGCUGACCUGUUCCUGCCCUCUGUGCUGGGUAUCUGGGUGUCCCUCUGUGCUGGCCCCUACCUGAGGCCCCCAACACCCCUGCCACACCCUCCUCCCAGCCCGUCCUCGUGACAGUACUGCCCACGGUGCUGUCCAGGAUGGGAGCCACCUUUCUAAGCCUGUGUGGCCCCACAGCUCCUGCCAGAGCAGGACCCAAGAAUGCUGGCAUGCCUCCAGAAUAAACGGCUUCAUCCCUGUUCAGCACCUCCAGGACGGUCAGCAGUGACCCAGUGGCGCCUGGUCAGGGUGCAGCCCGGAAUCUCACUCUUACUGGAGACUUUGGGGCCCGUGGUAGGAGCUCACCCCUGCCACACCUCCACUAUACAGAAAGAAAGUGGGACCGUGUGGGGCUUUCUCAGCCCAGGAGUCCUUUGUGAGCUUCUCCAGCCCGUUUCUACAGAUCUGGUUCUUUCUUUGCCAUGGAUCCAUGGAAUUAGGGAUGUUUUCUAGGGAGUUUUUCCAAAACAUGGACUAUUAACAUAGCUUGGUUUAUUCAAAAAGUACUUACUGAUCAACUACUACUGGUAGUCACAGCACAGCCCCCAUCUCUGGGAAGCUGACAUUCCAGUGGAGGGAAAUAAACCAGUGGACAGAACACAAAUCCGGUCAAGGAAGGCCUCUCUGAUGGGGCAGGCUGAGCAGACACUGAGAGGAAGCUACCUGGGACUUGAAGGCAAAGGAGCCACCUGUGCAAAGGCC
rnacentral:lncRNA from 10 species